rnacentral:rRNA from 1 species
GAUGAACGCUGGCGGCGUGCCUAAUACAUGCAAGUCGAGCGAACGGACGAGAAGCUUGCUUCUCUGAUGUUAGCGGCGGACGGGUGAGUAACACGUGGAUAACCUACCUAUAAGACUGGGAUAACUUCGGGAAACCGGAGCUAAUACCGGAUAAUAUUUUGAACCGCAUGGUUCAAAAGUGAAAGACGGUCUUGCUGUCACUUAUAGAUGGAUCCGCGCUGCAUUAGCUAGUUGGUAAGGUAACGGCUUACCAAGGCAACGAUGCAUAGCCGACCUGAGAGGGUGAUCGGCCACACUGGAACUGAGACACGGUCCAGACUCCUACGGGAGGCAGCAGUAGGGAAUCUUACGCAAUGGGCGAAAGCCUGACGGAGCAACGCCGCGUGAGUGAUGAAGGUCUUCGGAUCGUAAAACUCUGUUAUUAGGGAAGAACAUAUGUGUAAGUAACUGUGCACAUCUUGACGGUACCUAAUCAGAAAGCCACGGCUAACUACGUG